GGACUACCAGGGUAUCUAAUCCUGUUUGCUCCCCACGCUUUCGUAGUUGAGUGUCAGUGCCUGUCCAGGUCGCCGCCUUCGCCGCUGGUGUUCCUCCCGAUCUCUACGCAUUUCACCGCUACACCGGGAAUUCCACGACCCUCUCCAGGACUCUAGUCUCACCGUUUCCGGGGCACUUCUUGAGUUAAGCCCAAGGCUUUCACCCCGGACAAAUGAGACCACCUACCUACCCUUUACGCCCAAUAAUUCCGAGCAACGCUUGCACCCCUCGUAUUACCGCGGCGGCUGGCAC
rnacentral:rRNA from 1 species